rnacentral:rRNA from 1 species
GACGAACGCUGGCGGCGUGCUUAACACAUGCAAGUCGAACGGAAAGGCCCUGCUUUUGUGGGGUGCUCGAGUGGCGAACGGGUGAGUAACACGUGAGUAACCUGCCCUUGACUUUGGGAUAACUUCAGGAAACUGGGGCUAAUACCGGAUAGGAGCUCCUGCUGCAUGGUGGGGGUUGGAAAGUUUCGGCGGUUGGGGAUGGACUCGCGGCUUAUCAGCUUGUUGGUGGGGUAGUGGCUUACCAAGGCUUUGACGGGUAGCCGGCCUGAGAGGGUGACCGGCCACAUUGGGACUGAGAUACGGCGCAGACUCCUACGGGAGGCAGCAGUGGGGAAUAUUGCACAAUGGGCGGACGCCUGAUGCAGCAACGCCGCGUGCGGGAUGACGGCCUUCGGGUUGUAAACCGCUUUCGCCUGUGACGAAGCGUGAGUGACGGUAAUGGGUAAAGAAGCACCGGCUAACUACGUG